GUCGAACGGUAACAUUUCUAGCUUGCUAGAAGAUGACGAGUGGCGGACGGGUGAGUAAUGCUUGGGAACUUGCCUUUGCGAGGGGGAUAACAGUUGGAAACGACUGCUAAUACCGCAUAAUGUCUUCGGACCAAACGGGGCUUCGGCUCCGGCGCAAAGAGAGGCCCAAGUGAGAUUAGCUAGUUGGUAAGGUAACGGCUUACCAAGGCGACGAUCUCUAGCUGUUCUGAGAGGAAGAUCAGCCACACUGGGACUGAGACACGGCCCAGACUCCUACGGGAGGCAGCAGUGGGGAAUAUUGCACAAUGGGGGAAACCCUGAUGCAGCCAUGCCGCGUGUGUGAAGAAGGCCUUCGGGUUGUAAAGCACUUUCAGUUGUGAGGAAAAGUUAGUAGCUAAUACCUGCUAGCCGUGACGUUAACAACAGAAGAAGCACCGGCUAACUCCGUGCCAGCAGCCGCGGUAAUACGGAGGGUGCGAGCGUUAAUCGGAAUUACUGGGCGUAAAGCGCACGCAGGCGGUUUGUUAAGCUAGAUGUGAAAGCCCCGGGCUCAACCUGGGAUGGUCAUUUAGAACUGGCAGACUAGAGUCUUGGAGAGGGGAGUGGAAUUCCAGGUGUAGCGGUGAAAUGCGUAGAUAUCUGGAGGAACAUCAGUGGCGAAGGCGACUCCCUGGCCAAAGACUGACGCUCAUGUGCGAAAGUGUGGGUAGCGAACAGGAUUAGAUACCCUGGUAGUCCACACCGUAAACGCUGUCUACUAGCUGUGU
rnacentral:rRNA from 1 species